rnacentral:misc_RNA from 1 species
UCCUCGUUUAAGCGAGGCAGUCUGUCCAGAGUGCUCCAAACUCUCGUCUGGGUGGCAACAGGACACAGGGGUUGCGCUCGUUGCGGGACUUAACCCAACAUCUCACGACACAAGCUGACGACAGCCAUGCAGCACCUGUGCAAGCUCCCCUUGCGGGGUCGUUCCGCUUUCACGGUCCUACCACUUGCAUGUCAAGGCCAGGUAAGGUUCUUCGCGUUGCAUCGAAUUAAGCCACAUACUCCACCGCUUGUGCAGGCCCCCGUCAAUUUCUUUGAGUUUUAAUCUUGCGACCGUACUUCCCAGGCGGCGCGUUUAUCGCGUUAGCUUCGCCACAAAAGGGGUCGAUUCCUUUUACAGCAAACGCGCACCGUUUACAGCCAGGACUAC